rnacentral:lncRNA from 1 species
AUAAAAUCACUUUGUAAGUUCAGGAUUAACACGCUCUUAAAGCGAGCGAUCCCUUAACAAUGAACACUAACCGAAAGCGGAGACUUACUUUAAAUAAUUAUGUCAAACCAUGUAUGAUAAAACAUGUCAUAGUUUACUUAGAUACGGUACCUCAGGACCGAGAAUUUCUUUCAAGUGUUCAGAAAAGUUAGUGUACUAUCGUGUAUUUAUAAUCCUUCUGAGAUUCCCAUACGACAAUAUAUCAUUCAUCUAAGAGUAAUUCUUCUUUCAAUAUAUACACCAAAAAACACUUUAUCACAUAAUAUAACAUCAGGUGCAACUCAAUUCAAUGUUAACUAGAAACACAUUCUAGUUUCCAUCUGCUCUGGCCAGAGACUUUAUGAGUUGUCACCUAUAGAUAUACAAUGAUAACACGUAUCUGUCCCGAAUCCCUUUUCCAUUUGAGAGGGUAUAGUUCUCGAGAGUUUAUUAUACUGCUUCUGGCAGUUAAGAUCCUUCUAGGAUGAUUAUUGUCAAGUGGGUCGUAUAAAACUUAAAUUGAACAUUCACAUAUUGCGGGAUUAUUUCGCAAUCAAAUAAUCAUUUCCACCACAAAUACUAUUACUCUUCAUAACCAACACAAGGUUAUCAUACAAUUAUUUGAGCUUUACAUAUCUAUAAUUUCAUUUUAUUUUCGCACAAAUAAUCAUACAUAUCCCACUGACUUAACACCUUUG